rnacentral:rRNA from 1 species
AACGUAGGACGCAAGCGUUAUCCGGAGUUACUGGGCGUAAAGAGCUCGUAGGCGGCUUGUCGCGUCGGCUGUGAAAUCCCGAGGCUCAACCUCGGGUCUGCAGUCGAUACGAGCAAACUAGAGUGUUGCAGGGGAGACUGGAAUUCCUGGUGUAGCGGUGAAAUGCGCAGAUAUCAGGAGGAACACCGGUGGCGAAGGCGGGUCUCUGGGCAGCAACUGACGCUGAGGAGCGAAAGCGUGGGGAGCGAACAGG